rnacentral:rRNA from 1 species
AGCGCACGCAGGCGGUCUGUCAAGUCGGAUGUGAAAUCCCCGGGCUCAACCUGGGAACUGCAUUCGAAACUGGCAGGCUAGAGUCUUGUAGAGGGGGGUAGAAUUCCAGGUGUAGCGGUGAAAUGCGUAGAGAUCUGGAGGAAUACCGGUGGCGAAGGCGG